rnacentral:rRNA from 1 species
GAGGUAACGGCUCACCAAGGCGACGACGGGUAGCCGGCCUGAGAGGGCGACCGGCCACACUGGGACUGAGACACGGCCCAGACUCCUACGGGAGGCAGCAGUGGGGAAUAUUGCACAAUGGGCGAAAGCCUGACGCAGCAACGCCGCGUGAGGGAUGACGGCCUUCGGGUUGUAAACCUCUUUCAGCAGGGAAGAAGCGAAAGUGACGGUACCUGCAGAAGAAGCACCGGCUAACUACGUGCCAGCAGCCGCGGUAAUACGUAGGGUGCAAGCGUUGUCCGGAUUUAUUGGGCGUAAAGAGCUCGUAGGCGGUUAGUCACGUCGGAUGUGAAAACCCGGAGCUUAACUCCGGGCCUGCAUUCGAUACGGGCUGACUAGAGUGUUGUAGGGGAGACUGGAACUCCUGGUGUAGCGGUGAAAUGCGCAGAUAUCAGGAAGAACACCGGUGGCGAAGGCGGGUCUCUGGGCAACUACUGACGCUGAGGAGCGAAAGCGUGGGGAGCAAACAGGAUUAGAUACCCUGAUAGUCCACGCCGUAAACGGUGGGCGCUAGGUGUGGGGACCAUUCCACGGUCUCCGUGCCGCAGCUAACGCAUUAAGCGCCCCGCCUGGGGAG